AAUAACGUCACGCAUUUAAGAGUUGGAGGCAUUUUAUCGUAACUCCACGGCUGCUGGCAAUGCUCACCAAGACAGAUUGCAGAUCCUGACAGCAGUCCAAGGAGGGAAAAACAACGUUGGGAAGGCAACACAAUCUAAAUUUUGUAGAGUUGAGCCAACAAACAGAUGGCAGGAACUAAACCUCCUUUAAAAACACUAAUCCCAUGGCCACGGCUGUCCUGGCGUCAGCCCGAAACCCUGCCAAAUGGAGAGCUGAACUGAAUGAGCUGCAAGGAGCUCAUAGUCAUGCCGGUCCAAGACAGCUCAAGGGGAAGAGUUGGAAAGAACUGCUGCAAAUGAUAGCAAAUCAAGAAGUUAAUGUGGGAGCCUGCCCAUUAGAAGCAGACAGCGGGAGAGAGCAGGCAACCUCAGCUGCUGGAAAUUUACCUCUUGUGUGGAGCAUAAGGAGAGUCUUUUCCCCACUUAAUCCUCAAUACAAAGUGUGAUGAGGCUUAUUCAGGACCUGGCAGAGGCAGCUCUCCGGACCAGCAGCCUCUUACUCGCCCUUCAGCAGCACUGACCCUGCAGCAGCCCCACAUCACCCACAGAGCAGCUUCCCUCUGAGUCUCUGACUGAAGCAGAGAGCUGAAUUGGAGCUGCAGAGAAAGCUGUUAGAAGAUGCCCGCAGGUAUAUGUGGCACAAAGACACAGGAACUUUAUCUUAUUUUCUGGCUGCUUGGAACUGAUUAUGGGGAUUAAUGAUUUAUCUCUCUUUAAAGAACUCCUUGGAGCUACAUAGUCUCAAAUCAGAUAAAGUAUGUGCCAUUCCCUGGCCAGGCACCUGCCAAUUUAGGUUUAUCCUUUAAUCUGGGCAUAUCUAGUUUUACAAAGAUUUGACUUAAAGUUUCUUGAGAGACAUCGUUAGUGCUGCUCAGCUUCCCAAAACCUGUGUGAUGUUUCUUCUGAGACCCCCACUGGCCUGGAUUUUUCUGAGAUGAGAGGAGAAAGCAGAGAGAAUGAGACGGUACCGCAGCUGUGUGCUGGGUGAAUCCCUUGAGAGGUGUGGAGGGCUGGAGCUCAGUUCUGACACAAGGACAAAGCUCUCCUUGGAGAAUAUCACAGCUGUAUGUCAUCCUGCUGCCAGCACCGAUGUAGGUUGCCAGCAGGCACAGAGAAAGCAGGCAGCUCCCUCGUCUGCCCAGCAUGUGUUUGAGUUUGCUGCAAACUUAUGUAUCAUCAAAUCAUAGAGUGGUGUAGGUUGGGAGGGACCUUAAAGAUCACUGAUCUCCAACUGCCCUGCAUAUCCAUGCAAAAAGGAAGCAGGAGAUAGCUCAGAGGCUGAAACACAUGACACUGUUCUAUAGACAAGUCUUUAAGAAGUCAAUAUGAACGUUUCUGGAAGUACACCAGAGACAAUGUGGCUCAGUGACAUUUUAAAUCUGAUUAUCGACUCCCUUGCAACUAAGUCAAUGGCAAUCAUCAUAGUGAAGACAUGUUUCAGCUAGAUCCCUGGCUGAUUCACGUCCUCAUUCAGGUGAGUCUGAAGUGG
ensembl:lncRNA